rnacentral:lncRNA from 1 species
GAUUGCGUCAAGUGAAAAUAAACAUCAAGAUUUGGUGGACUUCCCAUUUUUUGAUUGAUUGAAAGAUCAUCGGGCCAUUUUUCUGAGUCGCAUCUUUGCUAGCAAUGCGGGUCAGAUUGGUACGUGGUAUUGGAAGAGCUGGCGCAGGUCAACUAUGGUUAUCCCGUUUUUUUAAAUUUAAGCAAACGUUGGCUGUAAUUGUGUGCCGAAGGAUUUCCGAGAAUAUCGAGCCGAAAACAUACAACAAAACCAGACUUGUUACCAGAUUUUCCGAUACUCCAGCAUUGUGUGAAAUAUCGAUGGUUCAAUAAAUAAAAGUAAGAAUUAA